GAUGAACGCUGGCGGCGUGCCUAAUACAUGCAAGUCGAGCGAACAGACGAGUAGCUUGCUCCUCUGACGUUAGCGGCGGACGGGUGAGUAACACGUGGAUAACCUACCUAUCAGACUGGGAUAACUUCGGGAAACCGGAGCUAAUACGGGAUAAUAUAUUGAACCGCAUGGUUCAAUAGUGAAAGACGGUUUUGCUGUCACUUAUAGAUGGAUCCGCGCCGCAUUAGCUAGUUGGUAAGGUAACGGCUUACCAAGGCAACGAUGCGUAGCCGACCGGAGAGGGUGAUCGGCCACACUGGAACUGAGACACGGUCCAGACUCCUACGGGAGGCAGCAGUAGGGAAUCGGCCGCAAUGGGCGAAAGCAUGACGGAGCAACGCCGCGUGAGUGAUGAAGGUCUUCGGAUCGUAAAACUCUGUUAUGAGGGAAGAACAAAUGUGUAAGUAAAUAUGCACGUCUUGACGGUACCUAAUCAGAAAGCCACGGCUAACUACGUG
rnacentral:rRNA from 1 species